AAAGCGGCAACGCAAAUUUUGAACACUGUACUUUAGUAUUUUUCAGCAGUGUAGAACGCAAAAACAUUAAAGAAAAACAAAAGGAAAAACAGGCACAUCCACAUCCAAUAUGUUAAAGCGACCACAGCUAAGCAUAGAGCCACCAACCAGCAUGUGGCAGUGCAUACAGCACAAGAACAGGCAGCAGCCGACACCAGACCAGGCCAGGCCACUCUCAGAACAACGGAGACGUUGUUGCUGACUCUGAGAGACAGCAAAGAAUAUAUUAAAAAUACAACAUGCAGGCUAUAUGGAGAAGGUAAGCAAGACAGGCAGGCAGACAGACAGACAGGCAGGACUGGCAUCCGACCGGGCCAAGCGAGUUUCAAGUGUAGAGAGAAGAGCACGAGCGCGCAUACGCCAAAGUUGCUAAUAUAUUUUUAUGUUUAAUGCUCGAAGGAGUAGAGCGCGACCAGUAUGAGUGGCAAGCGCUUUUAAUGGUGGUUAAACAACAUUGAUUGCGACCCGAAGACAUUAAUAAAACUACAAUAUGGCGCAUAGGGAAAAAAAUAAUAAAAAAGUAUCCACUUAAAUAAAUUUGUCCAUGUAUGCGUGCAACAGCAGGAGUCAGGCCAUAAAAAAAAUAAUGAACGAAAAGGAAGGCAAGUAUAAGGCGUUGAGAAAAAAGUUUAAAUAAAUAUGCUUAAGCACAUUCCUUGUGGGACGAUGCAGCAAAAACCGACGAGAGCUUAAAAACAGAUUUAAAAAAA